rnacentral:rRNA from 1 species
GGAUGAACGCUAGCGGCAGGCUAACACAUGCAAGUCGAGGGGCAGGCGAGGGGUAGCAAUACUCUGUCGGCGACCGGCGAAAGGGUGAGUAACGCGUGAGCAACAUGCCCGUUGCAGGGGGAUAGUCAUUGGAAACGGUGCGUAAUACCCCGUAAUAUCAUGGAUCGCAUGGUUUAUGAUUGAAAGAUUUAUCGGCGACGGAUUGGCUCGCGUACCAUUAGCUAGAUGGCGGGGUAACGGCCCACCAUGGCUACGAUGGUUAGGGGUUCUGAGAGGAGGGUCCCCCCACAUUGGAACUGAGACACGGUCCAGACUCCUACGGGAGGCAGCAGUGAGGAAUAUUGGUCAAUGGCCGAGAGGCUGAACCAGCCAUGCCGCGUGCGGGAAGACGGCCCCCUAUGGGUUGUAAACCGCUUUUUUGUGGGAGCAAUAAGUUGCACGUGUGCAAUGAUGAGAGUACCAUGAGAAUAAGCAUCGGCUAACUCCGUGCCAGCCGCAGC